rnacentral:rRNA from 1 species
UGCAGUCGAACGAAGGCUUCGGCCUUAGUGGCGCACGGGUGCGUAACGCGUGGGAAUCUGCCCUUGGGUUCGGAAUAACAGUUGGAAACGACUGCUAAUACCGGAUGAUGUCGCGAGACCAAAGAUUUAUCGCCCAGGGAUGAGCCCGCGUCGGAUUAGGUAGUUGGUGGGGUAAAGGCCUACCAAGCCGACGAUCCGUAGCUGGUCUGAGAGGAUGAUCAGCCACACUGGGACUGAGACACGGCCCAGACUCCUACGGGAGGCAGCAGUGGGGAAUAUUGGACAAUGGGCGAAAGCCUGAUCCAGCAAUGCCGCGUGAGUGAUGAAGGCCUUAGGGUUGUAAAGCUCUUUUGCCCGGGAUGAUAAUGACAGUACCGGGAGAAUAAGCUCCGGCUAACUCCGUGCCAGCAGCCGCGGUAAUACGGAGGGAGCUAGCGUUGUUCGGAAUUACUGGGCGUAAAGCGCACGUAGGCGGCUUUGUAAGUCAGGGGUGAAAGCCUGGAGCUCAACUCCAGAACUGCCUUUGAGACUGCAUCGCUUGAAUCCGGGAGAGGUGAGUGGAAUUCCGAGUGUAGAGGUGAAAUUCGUAGAUAUUCGGAAGAACACCAGUGGCGAAGGCGGCUCACUGGA